CCUACGGGCGGCAGCAGUGGGGAAUAUUGGGCAAUGGGCGCAAGCCUGACCCAGCAACGCCGCGUGAAGGAAGAAGGCUCUCGGGUUGUAAACCUCUUUUGUUAGGGAAACGUAGACGACGGUACCUGACGAAUAAGCCAUGGCUAACUACGUGCCAGCAGCCGCGGUCAUACGUAGGUCGCAAGCGUUGUCCGGAUUUACUGGGUGUAAAGGGCGUGUAGCCGGGUUGACAAGUCAGAUGUGAAAUCCUGCGGCUUAACCGCAGAACUGCAUUUGAAACUGUUGAUCUUGAGUACUGGAGAGGCAGACGGAAUUCGUGGUGUAGCGGUGAAAUGCGUAGAUAUUAGGAGGAACACCAGUGGCGAAGGCGGUCUGCUGGACAGCAACUGACGGUGAGGCGCGAAAGCGUGGGGAUCGAACAGGAUUAGAUACCCUUGUAGUC
rnacentral:rRNA from 1 species